AAAGAAAUCUGGAAGACUGAGAAAGCAGAAACCCUCAGCUAAAUUUGAAGAGUCCCACAAGGACAUAAGAAGGCCAAGGUCCAGGUUGGCAGCUGUAUUUGAAUCACAUCAGACCUCCAGCUGUGGAACUUGCAGGUGCUUCUGUGGUUCUCAUCAGCCCCUUUCAAGGUGUAAGGGAAACCAUCUGGGUCCUCUGUGAUCUGCUCCCUGGGAUACAGAUAGCAGGACAAAGCAGUCAUUCUUUUUUUCUCCCAUGAGGAAUUCUGAUGCUUCUCAAACUGAGGUAUUUUUAGAAAUCUCCAUCAUCUUUCUGCACAGACAUUUUCUUGCCUAGGAGGGCUGCACACCUACCUCAUGUAAUGCUGCUGCUGGGAGCCGAGAGCCUGGAAAAAAAUGUCCAGUGACCACUGGUAAGAGAAGCUGUGAUUAUGUAAGAUAGGUAGGUUGCUCCAAAAGUAAUACCUCCUAUUUAUUUCCAUGGAAAUUAUAACUGAUACAAAAAGCACAAUCUCACUAUUUCACAGGGCAAUUUCUCAUCUAUAAAAUGCUGUUUUUCAGCACAGUCACCACUGCCAGCUAUGCAUUUUCACCAGCGAUGAACAAGAGCCUGCAUGCCACACUUGAAAAAAAUCUGUACCAGUAGAACUGAGCCACUGUCACCACUGCUGAACUGCACCACCCUCCACCUCACUGUGCUCACAUCCGCUGUUUGGUCUGCAUACACUUUCAGCAAGAGUCCAUGAAUGUCAGUGGGUGCCAUUUUUUCUGCAUGGAGGAAUUUAAUGUCACACCUUUGCUUCACACGCACUUCUACAUUGGAUGCCAUUUUGUCAGACUGACCUUCUGUCACGCAGGAACAAAAUAUGACGGGGAAUGUGUGGGAAGGUUCAGCCUCUACUGCCAUACCAGCAACAUCUGACACUGUGGGCCAAAAGAAUAACAUAGGUGGCAUUACUUCAGAGCAGCCCUUGUACACAUGUGCUGAGGCUGUCCUACUGUACCAGUCUCAGCCGACAGCUUACAUCAGCACCAUGUCCCUCUGUUCUGACAAUCUUUACCAGGGAAACAAGACUUCUAACCACAUCCAGCCAGAAGCUGGGUCCAAGGCCUGGAGUUUUUUCCUUAGACAUUUACUGACUUUAACUGGGGACUCAGGUGAUUAUUGUAUAACUCUCUGCAGCUCUUCUCAGUGA
rnacentral:lncRNA from 1 species